AAUAACUGAUUAUUUGACAGUUGGAAUGAAAGCCGUCAUGUUGGCUGAAACAGCUGGUCUGAUACUCCUGCAUGCGAUUAAACAAUGCAGAGUUUAAUCGUGUGAUAGCCAGGUGAAGUCGGCAGAACAAUACCUAAGUCAAUUCAUAUUGAUAUGGUUGCGGAUAUGCCGGGACGCUAUAAA
rfam:Enterococcus sp. 2G9_DIV0600 scaffold00003, whole genome shotgun sequence.